rnacentral:sRNA from 1 species
GAGUUGCCUUGGUCAUGGGGUCUCUUCACAGCAGUAAAACCCUAAGACAUGUUUCUUGGGAAAAGCUACCUGCUCUUUACAACCUUGUAAUGACCCUAGUCAAUGAAAUGAUGUUUACCCAGUAAGGCCUCAAGUGAGGCAAAAGAAUCUUAUACAUAAUUGAUCUCUGGCUUUGAUUUGGCCCCAGCUGGACAUGACUUGCUAAGUCUUUGGGAUUGGGUUUAAAUUCUGAGUGGGCUUUGCUCUGAGUGGUCCUGGCUACAGUUGGCAUCUGCCCACUGAAGAGAUGAGCCUAGCAGGGCAUGAUGUCCCACUCUGAGAGGCACAGGAAACAAAGAAAAGACUUCAAGCAGCCUUGCUGAGAAUAAUGAUAUAUGUGCAAUUUUGCAUCUCCAAAUUUCUCCUCAUUCCAAAAGAAAAGAAAUCAAUAUGGAAUGGACUUGGUAUCGGGUAUUUCUGAGGUUGUUUGCCUGCUCUUAGCACUCCUGUAUCAAGUGGGCCCCAUCAGAGAAGAGAUCAAUAGGCACCAGAAAUAGUGACUUCAUAUAUGUGACUAAAUCCUUCACUGAGUCUGUAGGCCUAUUUACCAGCAGGCUGGCUAUUGUCAAACCACUUGGCAGUUGUAUGAAAGCAAGACAACUUUCUGUCAUCAGGGGGAGAAAAAAAUGAGAUUUUUCUAUAGAUCUUAAGAGUUUGAAUAUACAUUUUCCUUUGAGUUUUCUUUUUCUUUUCUUCUUCUUUUUUUUUUUUUUUGUAUUUCUGUGCAUUGUGAAAUUAAGUGCAUUUUGAGGCACAAGACCCAUAAAAUUCCUGUGACUCUUCUGAACUACCAACUGCAUCUGUCCUGGUACUCAGGUUCCCACUGUUCCAAAUGCAGAGAAAGAUGGCUGAGCCAGCUGUUGUCUCUGUGGCUUGUGGGCUACACUGAGCCCCUUUGUUCACAGGUCUGUGAGGGUUCCCAAGGAGAGCUGGAGGUUACAGUGCCUUUAUAGUGCCAAGGCAGGAAGAGAUCUUCACACAUCCCAGACAGCAGCAAAUGGUCUAAUCACUUAAUCGGUGAGUAUUUACUGAGGGCCAGUUCUAACACUCGGCUUUAUAACAGUGAUUAAAGAGAGGACAGCCUUCUCAUGGCCCGCUGCUUCUGUGAUGUGAAGGCUCAAAGGUAAAUACAAGGCUGGGAGUGGAGAUCAGUGACUCCAUGGUCAAGUACUCGCUUAUCAUGCACAAGGCCCUAGAUUUAAUCAUAAAACUACCAAAGGAGGAGGAAGAAGAGAGAAGAAGAAAAAGUUGGAUGAAAAUGAAAACCAAAUGAAGAAACUUCAAAGGGAAAUGUUCUGAAAAUAGUAAAAUUAGAAUCUUACAUGUAUACACACACACACACACACACACACACACACACACACACACACACACAAAACUUUUUUCUUGAGACAUGAGACUAUUCGACCUAUAUGGUGGCCAGCUUCCAAGAUGGCAACUCAUCAAUUCCAGUAUCCAGUAUUAAACUGUUUUGUUCCCUUCCUACACCAAAGAACCCUGAUCUAUGUCACUAUCAGUAUAUUGUAGAAAUGGUGGCUGUGCUUUCUGAGGCUUGCCAUGAAAAGUAGCAUAGCUUCUGCUUGCCUUUUUCUUUUGUUGGAUCUUUUUCUCUGGGGGAAGGAGCAGCCACUAACUUGGGGAACACUUGACUAUCCCUAUAGAUCUACAUGCAGAGAAACCAGACCUCUUGCUAAAACAUGGAGCCCCCAACCAUGUACAAGAGUCAACUUGAGAACAGACACUGCAGCCCCAUUUUAUCAUCAUGUGAUCACAGCCCCAGCCUGGGUCUUUUACUUCAAUCUGAUGAGAUACUGAAACCAACAUCACUCCACUAAGCCAUUUUUCUCAUUUCUAAUCUUCAGAAACUGCGAGAUGCCCCAUGUUCAUUGUUUGACAUGAAUAAGUGUUAUACCAAAGUAGAUAAUUGAUAGGGGUAAAAUUCUUCCCCCAUUUGAUGAAUGAGACUGCAAACUCUAGGGUGUCAGAGAUUUGCUAGUGAAUGAAAGGCUAGGAAUUAGUUAUACCUGUUUCACACACACAGUCCUUCUACCUCUAAUCAUUACUGCCUGAAGCAUCUAACUCUUCAUAAGCACACAAUACCAGGAUAGAACAAGAGGCCAUGUUGACUUUGUCUUGAUCUUAGAAUAGCCUUGGAUGGGCACUAGCAUCUUCCACUGAUUUUGAAUGUGGAACAACCAAGCAAGGAGAUGCCUUGUGCCAUUUGUAUAAAGUGUCCGAUUAAUCAACUCCAGUUAGAGCUCAUUGCUGGCCCAUCACCUACAGCUCCCUGCUGUUUAAAGGUUUUUACAUUUCUUUUAUUUCUAGUCCCCCCUCUUGUGAUUUUUUUUCAAGAUCUCUUAAAGCUGCUACCUAAAUAAUUCUGUUUCAAAUCAGGAUUUUCCACUAAACUUUCUCACAAAAGAGCCUUUUUCUUUCCUUCAUGUUUAAAAUAAAAUAUAGCUUUCCUGCUAGAAUACAAAGCAACCCGUGGGUUUUUCUGAUGCUUCACAAUCUAUAUUGACUGGCAUUGAGAGAACAAAAAGCAGCCAGCCCCACACUCCUGCAAGGAGUCAGCAACAGCUUUGCUGGCCCAUGUGCUGGCUUCUUUCUAGGAAGAUUUUUCCCUACAGUGUAGGCUGUUUCUGACUCAUGGAGUGUCUAUUUAGUGACCCAAUUCUUCAUCCCCUCCUCUAGUGUACCAUAGUCAGGACACAAACCCUCUUCGCUCUGCCUCACACCCCUAAUGCUAUAACUGCAAGUGAUUUCAGCUCCUCAAGACUGUGUUCAACAUGACCUCCUGCAAAAGGCUUCCUCUGAUUUCACCAGCAAGAGGUAAUCUCUUCCUGAAAGUCCAGUAUCAAUUUCCAGUUUUAUUUCUCCUAUCUGAAUAUAGAUGAUAAUCUCUCUGCAGCUUCUGCUAUUGGCAGACACCCUUUGGUCGUGGCGAUGUGUGAGUAAGGGUUCAAAGAAAAACACACAACUACUCAGUGUUCAUACUUAACUAGGCACUCACAGAAACUCAGAAUGUGAAGCCAAAGCUUGGUGAGUGAUCAAAUACCAGAUGAGUAGAGACCUCAAGAUCCCGAGGCAGUUGCAGAAGGAACUAAGCUGGCUCACUGACAUCUCCAUGUGCUACUGUGUCCCCACGGAGCACACACAACAGAAGCAUAACAGUCUACAACUUUCUUUGAAGGUUAGCUCUACUGUUCGGGUGUGAUUUAGUUGUUCCUGGGGAAUCACCAGGUCACAAUGAAUAAUGCUAUUCUUCUUUGUACCAAAAGAAUAUCAUGUGUGAUGGAUCUCGCUGACCUAAGUACAGUGUCUUUACCCUAGUCGCUGCUUUUGGCCUAUUAUAUAGGAAGACCAUGCUGUGAACACACUCAGUGUUCUCUAGUGAACUGAUGGCCACUGAGAUCUGGGUGGCCCAUCCACCUUCCCCUGCUUAACAAUAGCAUCUCUUCCCUUCAGUUACUUUAGCCUCUCUGUCCUAUUUGUGGCAAUUUGUUGGGAGGUUGUAACAACCUAUGGAGAUGUGACCUGACUGCAAAAUGAAGCUGACAGUCUAGCAGAGAUGCAGCAUUGCAUGGAGAUGCAGCAUUGCAUAGAGAGGCAGCAUUGCAUAGAGAGGCGGCAUUGCAUAGACAGGCAGCAUUGCAUAGAGAGGUGGCAUUGCAUAGAGAGGUGGCAUUGCAUAGACAGGCAGCAUUGCAUAGAGAGGCGGCAUUGCAUAGAGAGGUGGCAUUGCAUAGACAGGCAGCAUUGCAUAGAGAGGUGGCAUUGCAUAGAGAUGAGUUUGGUAUAGAGAGGCAGCAUUGCAUAGAGAGGCAGCAUUGCAUAGAGAGGCGGCAUUGCAUAGGGAGGCAGCAUUGCAUAGAGAGGCGGCAUUGCAUAGAGAGGUGGCAUUGCAUAGACAGGCAGCAUUGCAUAGAGAGGCAGCAUUGCAUAGAGAGGCAGCAUUGCAUAGAGAGGCAGCAUUGCAUAGGGAGGCAGCAUUGCAUAGAGAGGCAGCAUUGCAUAGAGAGGCGGUAUUGCAUAGAGAGGUGGCAUUGCAUAGACAGGCAGCAUUGCAUAGAGAGGCAGCAUUGCAUAGAGAGGCAGCAUUGCAUAGAGAUGAGUAUGGCAUAGA